AUUGAACGCUGGCGGCAGGCUUAACACAUGCAAGUCGAGCGGAGUGAUGGUGCUUGCACUAUCACUUAGCGGCGGACGGGUGAGUAAUGCUUAGGAAUCUGCCUAUUAGUGGGGGACAACAUCUCGAAAGGGAUGCUAAUACCGCAUACGUCCUACGGGAGAAAGCAGGGGAUCAAUUAUGACCUUGCGCUCAUAGAUGAGCCUCAGUCGGAUUAGCUAGUUGGUGGGGUAAAGGCCUACCAAGGCGACGAUCUGUAGCGGGUCUGAGAGGAUGGUCCGCCACACUGGGACUGAGACACGGCCCAGACUCCUACGGGAGGCAGCAGUGGGGAAUAUUGGACAAUGGGGGGAACCCUGAUCCAGCCAUGCCGCGUGUGUGAAGAAGGCCUUAUGGUUGUAAAGCACUUUAAGCGAGGAGGAGGCUCUUUUGGUUAAUACCCAAGAUGAGUGGACGUUACUCGCAGAAUAAGCACCGGCUAACUCUGUGCCAGCCGCCGCGGUAA
rnacentral:rRNA from 1 species